rnacentral:rRNA from 1 species
GAGCGAGACCCACGCCACAGUUGCCAGCUCGUCCUCCGGGAUGGUGGGGACGACUGUUGGGACCGCCUCUGCUAAAGAGGAGGAAGGAAUGGGCAACGGUAGGUCAGCAUGCCCCGAAUUAUCUGGGCUACACGCGGGCUACAAUGGGUGGGACAAUGGGUAUCGACACCGAAAGGUGAAGGCAAUCUCCUAAACCCAUCCGUAGUUCGGAUUGUGGGCUGCAACUCGCCCACAUGAAGCUGGAAUCUGUAGUAAUCGUGUCUCAAAAUGGCACGGUGAAUAUGUCCCUGCUCCUU